rnacentral:rRNA from 1 species
ACUCCUACGGGAGGCAGCAGUGGGGAAUCUUGCGCAAUGGGCGAAAGCCUGACGCAGCCAUGCCGCGUGGAUGAUGAAGGUCUUAGGAUUGUAAAAUCCUUUCACCGGGGACGAUAAUGACGGUACCCGGAGAAGAAGCCCCGGCUAACUUCGUGCCAGCAGCCGCGGUAAUACGAAGGGGGCUAGCGUUGCUCGGAAUUACUGGGGCGUAAAGGGCGCGUAGGCGGACAGUUAAGUUGGGGGUGAAAGCCCGGGGCUCAACCUCGGAAUUGCCUUCAAUACUGGCUGUCUUGAGUACGGGAGAGGUGAGUGGAACUCCGAGUGUAGAGGUGAAAUUCGUAGAUAUUCGGAAGAACACCAGUGGCGAAGGCGACUCACUGGCCCGUUACUGACGCUGAGGCGCGAAAGCGUGGGGAGCAAACAGGAUUAGAUACCCUGGUAGCGACUGA